UCCGCUCGCGCGGGAGGUGCCUUCCCCCUGGUGACUCUGGAUAACUUUGUGCUGAUCGCACGGCCCUCGAGCCGGCGACGCAUCUUUCAAAUGUCUGCCCUAUCAAAUGUCGACGGUACGUGAUAUGCCUACCGUGUUGGCGACGGGUAACGGGGAAUCAGGGUUCGAUUCCGGAGAGGGAGCACGAGAAACGGCUACCACAUCCAAGGAAGGCAGCAGGCGCGCAACUUACCCACUCCCGGCACGGGGAGGUAGUGACGAAAAAUAACAAUACGGGACUCUUCAUGAGGCCCCGUAAUUGGAAUGAGCGCAGUCUAAACCCUUGGGCGAGGACCCAUUGGAGGGCAAGUCUGGUGCCAGCAGCCGCGGUAAUUCCAGCUCCAAUAGCGUAUAUUAAAGUUGUUGCAGUUAAAAAGCUCGUAGUUGGAUCUCGGGCGCAGGCGGGCGGUCCGGCUCGCGCCGGCUCGCCGCCCGUUCACCUGCCCCACCCCUGCCGGCUCCCUCCCGGCGGUGUUCUUCACUGAGCGUCCCGGGUGGCCGGCGCGUUUACUUUGAAAAAAUUAGAGUGUUCAAGGCGGGCCUGCCGAGCCCGAAUAACUGCGCAUGGAAUAAUGGAAUAGGACCUCGGUUCUAUUUUGCUGGUUUUCGGAAUCCGAGGUAAUGAUUGACGGGGACAAACGGGGGCAUUCGUAUUGCGGCGUUAGAGGUGAAAUUCUUGGAUCGCCGCAAGACGGGCUACUGCGAAAGCAUUUGUCAAGAAUG
rnacentral:rRNA from 1 species